GAUGAACGCUGGCGGCGUGCUUAACACAUGCAAGUCGAACGAUGAACCUCACUUGUGGGGGGAUUAGUGGCGAACGGGUGAGUAACACGUGAGUAACCUGCCCUUGACUCUGGGAUAAGCCUGGGAAACCGGGUCUAAUACUGGAUACGACCUUCUGGCGCAUGCCAUGUUGGUGGAAAGCUUUUGUGGUUUUGGAUGGACUCGCGGCCUAUCAGCUUGUUGGUGGGGUAAUGGCCUACCAAGGCGAUGACGGGUAGCCGGCCUGAGAGGGUGACCGGCCACACUGGGACUGAGACACGGCCCAGACUCCUACGGGAGGCAGCAGUGGGGAAUAUUGCACAAUGGGCGCAAGCCUGAUGCAGCGACGCCGCGUGAGGGAUGAAGGCCUUCGGGUUGUAAACCUCUUUCAGUAGGGAAGAAGCCGGCUUUUGGGUUGGUGACGGUACCUGCAGAAGAAGCGCCGGCUAACUACGUG
rnacentral:rRNA from 1 species